rnacentral:rRNA from 1 species
CUCUGUGACUCCGUACGGGAGCAGCAGUGGGAAUAUUGCACAAUGGGGGAAACCCUGAUGCAGCCAUGCCGCGUGUGUGAAGAAGGCCUUCGGGUUGUAAAGCACUUUCAGUAGGGAGGAAGGUAGUGUAGUUAACACCUGCAUUAUUUGACGUUACCUACAGAAGAAGCACCGGCUAACUCCGUGCCAGCAGCCGCGGUAAUACGGAGGGUGCGAGCGUUAAUCGGAAUUACUGGGCGUAAAGCGCAUGCAGGCGGCCUGUUAAGUCAGAUGUGAAAGCCCGGGGCUUAACCUCGGAAUUGCAUUUGAAACUGGCAGGCUAGAGUCUUGUAGAGGGGGUAGAAUUUCAGGUGUAGCGGUGAAAUGCGUAGAGAUCUGAAGGAAUACCAGUGGCGAAGGCGGCCCCCUGGACAAAGACUGACGCUCAGAUGCGAAAGCGUGGGGAGCAAACAGGAUUAGAUACCCUGGUAG